rnacentral:rRNA from 1 species
UACGUAGGGUGCAAGCGUUGUUCGGAAUUACUGGGCGUAAAGCGCGCGUAGGCGGGCUUGUAAGUUGAUUGUGAAAGCCCUGGGCUUAACCCGGGAAUGGCAGUCAAAACUACAAGUCUUGAGUGCCUGAGAGGAUGGCGGAAUUCCCGGUGUAGUAGUGAAAUACGUAGAUAUCGGGAAGAACACCUGAGGCGAAGGCGGCUAUCUGGCGGUGCACUGACGCUGAGGCGCGAAAGCGUGGGGAGCAAACAGG